rnacentral:rRNA from 1 species
GACGUAGAACGCCCACACUGUGACUAAAAUAAAGCCCAGACUCCUACGGGAGACAGCAGUGGGGAAUUGUUCGCAAUGGGCGCAAGCCUGACGACGCAACGCCGCGUGGAGGAUGAAGAUCUUCGGGUCGUAAACUCCUGUCGAGCGGGAAGAACACCUUUCGGGCGAAUAUCCCGAGGGGCUGACGGUACCGCUAAAGGAAGCCCCGGCUAACUCCGUGCCAGCAGCCGCGGUAAUACGGGGGGGGCAAGCGUUGUUCGGAAUUACUGGGCGUAAAGGGCUCGUAGGCGGCCAACUAAGUCAGGCGUGAAAUCCCCAGGCUCAACCUGGGAACUGCGUCUGAUACUGGAUGGCUUGAAUUCGGGAGAGGGAUGCAGAAUUCCAGGUGUAGCGGUGAAAUGCGUAGAUAUCUGGAGGAAUACCGGUGGCGAAGGCGGCAUCCUGGACCGACAUUGACGCUGAGGAGCGAAAGCUAGGGGAGCAAACGGGAUUAGAUACCCCGGUAGUCCUAGCCCUAAACGAUGAAUGCUUGGUGUAACGGGUAUCGAUCCCUGUUGUGCCGAAGCUAACGCAUUAAGCACCCCGCCUGGGGAGUACGGCCGCAAGGCUGAAACUCAAAAGAAUUGACGGGGGCCCGCACAAGCGGUGGAGCAAAUGGUUUAAUUCGAAGCAACGCGAAGAACCUUACCUGGGCUUGACAUGCAUGUGAAAGCCUCGUGAAAGCGGGGCCCUCCUUCGGGACGCAUGCACAGGUGCUGCAUGGCUGUCGUCAGCUCGUGUCGUGAGAUGUUGGGUUAAGUCCCGCAUCUUAUGCAAGCGUGGGCGACUGUUGCCAGCGGAGGAGCCAUCCUCCCGGGGACUCAUGGGAGACUGCCGGGGUCAACUCGGAGGAAGGUGGGGAGGACGUCAAAUCAUCAUGCCCCUUAUGUCUUGGGGUUCACCCAUGCUACAAUGGCCGGUACA